rnacentral:rRNA from 1 species
CGGACGGGUGAGUAACGCGUGGAAAACCUGCCGUAUACUGGGGGAUAACACUUAGAAAUAGGUGCUAAUACCGCAUAAGCGCACAGCUUCGCAUGAAGUGGUGUGAAAAACUCUGGUGGUAUACGAUGGUUCCGCGUCUGAUUAGCUUGUUGGUGGGGUAAUGGCUCACCAAGGCGACGAUCAGUAGCCGGCCUGAGAGGGUGAACGGCCACAUUGGGACUGAGACACGUCCCAAACUCCUACGGAAGGCAGCAG